UGGGGAAUCUUGCGCAAUGGGCGAAAGCCUGACGCAGCGACGCCGCGUGCGGGAAGAAGGCCUUCGGGUUGUAAACCGCUUUCAGGAGGGACGAAGCCACUCGGGUUAAUAGCCCAGAGGGUGACGGUACCUCCAGAACAAGCCCCGGCUAACUACGUGCCAGCAGCCGCGGUAAUACGUAGGGGGCAAGCGUUGUCCGGAUUCAUUGGGCGUAAAGCGCGUGUAGGCGGCCAGGUAGGUCCGGUGUGAAAACUCGAGGCUCAACCUCGAGAGGUCAUCGGAAACCAUCUGGCUAGAGUCCGGAAGAGGAGAGUGGAAUUCCCGGUGUAGCGGUGAAAUGCGCAGAUAUCGGGAAGAACACCCAUGGCGAAGGCAGCUCUCUGGGACGGUACUGACGCUGAGACGCGAAAGCGUGGGGAGCGAACAGG
rnacentral:rRNA from 1 species